rnacentral:misc_RNA from 1 species
GAUGAAGAACGUAGCGAAAUGCGAUAAGUAAUGUGAAUUGCAGAAUUCAGUGAAUCAUCGAAUCUUUGAACGCACAUUGCACCCGCCAGCAUUCUGGCGGGCAUGCCUGUUCGAGCGUCAUUUCAACCCUCGAGCCCCCCCGGGGGCCUCGGUGUUGGGGGACGGCACACCAGCCGCCCCCGAAAUGCAGUGGCGACCCCGCCGCAGCCUCCCCUGCGUAGUAGCACACACCUCGCACCGGAGCGCGGAGGCGGUCACGCCGUAAAACGCCCAACUUUCUUAGAGUUGACCUCGGAUCAGGUAGGAAUACCCGCUGAACUUAAGCAUAUCAAUAAGCGGAGGA